rnacentral:rRNA from 1 species
AGCGAACGCUGGCGGUAGGCCUAACACAUGCAAGUCGAACGGCAGCACAGUAAGAGCUUGCUCUUACGGGUGGCGAGUGGCGGACGGGUGAGGAAUACAUCGGAAUCUACUUUUUCGUGGGGGAUAACGUAGGGAAACUUACGCUAAUACCGCAUACGACCUACGGGUGAAAGCAGGGGAUCUUCGGACCUUGCGCGAUUGAAUUAGCCGAUGUCGGAUUAGCUAGUUGGCGGGGUAAAGGCCCACCAAGGCGACGAUCCGUAGCUGGUCUGAGAGGAUGAUCAGCCACACUGGAACUGAGACACGGUCCAGACUCCUACGGGAGGCAGCAGUGGGGAAUAUUGGACAAUGGGCGCAAGCCUGAUCCAGCCAUACCGCGUGGGUGAAGAAGGCCUUCGGGUUGUAAAGCCCUUUUGUUGGGAAAGAAAAGCAGCAGGUUAAUACCCCGCUGUUCUGACGGUACCCAAAGAAUAAGCACCGGCUAACUUCGUG